ACAAACGUGAUUCCCUUAGUAACGGCGAGUGAACCGGGAAGAGCCCAGCGUGAAGGCUAUGCUUCGUCAUGUUGCUAUAGCGGUGCCACGUGAAUACGCUUGUGACUGCAGGUAGGUGCGGGGGAACUGCAAGUCUCUUUGAGUAGAGCGCCAUAGCGGGUGAAAGCCCCGUAGCAGUAUCACUUGCCCAUCGCAUCACCUCCAUCAAGCGUAUGCUAGAGUCAGGUUGCUUGAGAGUGCAACCUAAAGCAGCAGGUAGACUCCUGCUAAGGCUAAAUACGACCGUCAGACCGAUAGUAAACAAGUACCGUGAGGGAAAGUUGAAAAGAACUUUGUAGAGAGAGUUAAAAGUACGUGAAACGGCUUGGAGGCAAACGAAUGGAGCUGCGAAGUAGGUGUGUGUGUUUCAACUUGCAUCAGCGUGUGGUGUGGGUUUCGAGUGUCACGAGAGUGUACUCUUGCCUGCAUUUCACAUGUUGAAACGAGUGCAUUACACGCACACACUAUGAUGUGGUGAGCAGUUGAAAGGUGUUGUUGCAACGAAUACGCUUGUCUGGUGUAGGGAAAGAUUUUGUUCUGCAUCAUCUGUCCCACCAGUCACGGCGGCACAACAAACACGUAUCGACUGUUGAACGAAAAAUCCCUAUCACUAGGGUAAGACUUGUCGCAGUGCUGCACACAAUACGACAGUGAGUACAGACUUGAAGUCGUUGGCCUGGCCAUCGACCCACUCUGUAAGCACAACGUAAGCGUGCGUAGACUCGGCGAGUCAUCACUACAGUAGUGGUCUCUAUUCGACCCGUCUUGAAACACGGACCAAGGAGUCUAGUAAGUACGCGAGUCGCACAGUCUUGACCAGGCUUGUGAGGCGAAGCGAACGCAAUCGUUGUGAUCCGUGCACACUCGUGUGUCACCGGCGCAACAACGAGGUCUCAACAGGCACUCAUAGCGUACUCACUGGUACCCGAAAGAUGGUGAUCUAUGCCUGAGCAAGACGAAGCCAGAGGAAACUCUGGUGGAGGUCUGUAGCGGUUCUGACGUGCAAAUCGAUCGUCAGACUUGGGUAUAGGGGCGAAAGACUAAUCGAACCAUCUAGUAGCUGGUUCCUUCCGAAGUUUCCCUCAGGAUAGCAGGGGUGGAGUUGACGAUAGUUGCUCCCGGUAAAGCGAAUGAUUAGAGGUCUUGGGGACGAAAAGUCCUCAACCUAUUCUCAAACUUUAAAUGGGUUCAAAGAUUCACUUUCUUGACUGAAGCGAGUCGCAAGAAUACCCGCCCCUAGUGGGCCAUUUUUGGUAAGCAGAACUGGCGCUGUGGUAUGAACCAAACGUCAAGUUAAAGCGUCAAAAACACGCUAAUCAGAUCCCAUGAAAGGUGUUUAUUGCUCGAGACAGCAGGACGGUGGCCAUGGAAGUCGGAAUCCGCUAAGGAGUGUGUAACAACUCACCUGCCGAAGCAAUAAGCCCUGAAAAUGGAUGACGCUUAAGCGUGUUGCUUAUACUUGACUGUUGUUGUAACAAGAAACAAAAGUGAGACAACAACAAGUAGGAAGGCGUAUUGAUGUGCGUAGAAGGUCAUCGCGUAAGCGAGACUGGAGCCGUCAAUAGUGCAGAUCUUGGUGGUAGUAGCAAAUACUCAAGUGAGACCCUUGAGGACCGAUGAGGAGAAGGGUUCCAUGUGAACAGUAGUUGAACAUGGGUCAGUCGGCCCUAAGCUAAGCGCGAAAGCGUUUCACGAAUCCGGGUGUACAUGGCGUGUGGGUCCUGUGGUUCGUCAACGUUUGUGUGUAGUGCUCGCACUGCAUGCAACACUUGCUUUCCACAAACCCAUUUCUCCACACUCGUAGCGAAAGGAAAUCAGGUUAAUAUUCCUGAACUUGGAAGCGGGGCAGGUUGGUGUAGCGAUUCACGUCGCUACAUCACCAGAAGCGGCAACGCAAACAAUCUGACAGACGUCGUAUCGAGUCUCGGGAAGAGUUGUCUUUUCUUGUUAAGAUGUUGAAUCCCUGGAAUUGGUUCAGCCAGCGAUAGGGAUGCAAAGGUCGUAAAGCACCACGGCUCUUGUGGUGUCCGAUGCACUCGGUCCGGCCCUUGAAAAUGUGUUAUCGUCAGUGAGUGAUGUGUUUGCCUGGCGCGCGCACUCGUGUGUGUGUUUGGUGAACAAUGCCCCUCGCUCCAAGCCGUACCCAUAUCCGCAGCAGGUCUCCAAGGUUAACAGCCUCUGGUCGUUAGAAAAAUGUAGGUAAGGGAAGUCGGCAAAACGGAUCCGUAACUUCGGGAAAAGGAUUGGCUCUGAGGGCUGAGCUUGACGGGCCGCAUGCAAAUGUUGGAGCUGUGCCGUGCCUUGACUGGUUUUAUUGGGAAGUUCGUGGCUUUCGGGCUGCGGGCGGACCGUAGAAUCGGACUUGGUUGGUGCGAUCCUUCGGACGCUGUAGCUGGGGCCGUAGCUGGAAGCUCUUUCGCAAGAGAGGGUGGAAACUGCGGUUAUCCAUAGGCAAGCAAAA
rnacentral:rRNA from 1 species